rnacentral:rRNA from 1 species
AACGAACGCUGGCGGCAUGCCUAACACAUGCAAGUCGAACGAGACCUUCGGGUCUAGUGGCGCACGGGUGCGUAACGCGUGGGAACCUGCCCUUAGGUUCGGAAUAACUCCCCGAAAGGGGUGCUAAUACCGGAUAAUGUCUUCGGACCAAAGAUUUAUCGCCUUUGGAUGGGCCCGCGUUGGAUUAGCUAGUUGGUAGGGUAAAAGCCUACCAAGGCGACGAUCCAUAGCUGGUCUGAGAGGAUGAUCGGCCACACUGGGACUGAGACACGGCCCAGACUCCUACGGGAGGCAGCAGUGGGGAAUAUUGGACAAUGGGCGAAAGCCUGAUCCAGCAAUGCCGCGUGAGUGAUGAAGGCCUUAGGGUUGUAAAGCUCUUUUACCCGGGAUGAUAAUGACAGUACCGGGAGAAUAAGCACCGGCUAACUCCGUG